rnacentral:rRNA from 1 species
UACGUAGGGUGCGAGCGUUAAUCGGAAUUACUGGGCGUAAAGCGUGCGCAGGCGGUUCGCUAAGACAGAUGUGAAAUCCCCGGGCUUAACCUGGGAACUGCAUUUGUGACUGGCGGGCUAGAGUAUGGCAGAGGGGGGUAGAAUUCCACGUGUAGCAGUGAAAUGCGUAGAGAUGUGGAGGAAUACCGAUGGCGAAGGCAGCCCCCUGGGCCAAUACUGACGCUGAGGCACGAAAGCGUGGGGAGCAAACAGG